rnacentral:tRNA from 1 species
GGCUGGGUGGCCUAAUGGCUUAAGGCAUCACUUUCCGGUCCACAAACUGUGAUUGGUGAAGAUUGCGGGUUCGAGUCCCGUCCUGGUCG